CUACUCGAAAUAAGUUACUUAGGUUUAACUAAUUGCAGUUGACUCUAAAAAACUACCUAUUAUAGCUAUGUAAUGGAACCGACUGCAAGGAAAGGUUAGUCAUGGUAUUGGAUUAAACCCCGUAAAAAACUGGGUGAAGGAUCUUCGAAACAAGAUCCUAAGAAACCAGGCAAGACUCUAUCAAAAAUUUCAGAAGAUCGAGCUAGGGAACAUAAUGGUUGACAUAGAGGAUAACUGAACACACACACCUCAAGAGUCAGACAUUAUUUAAUUCACAUGGGACCCGCACACUUUGUGAGUAUCGGUCACUCCGGCUGUCAAACAUUUUCGAGCAAAGUGACAUUUUUCAAUUUCAGAACCUCUUAACAAAGAAAAGAAGCUAAAUCAAAAUAUAAAUCUAUCCACCAAUUCAUUAGAACAUGAAAUCAGAAUUUCUCAAGUUCGAUAUCUCAAUCAUAAGUUUUCUAAAAGAAAGAAGAGAGCAGUAAAAUCAAGGCAAAGAGCUAAUUACCUUUCAAUUAUUGAAACUGCCUUCAAUUGAUUGGGAAGAAAAUUGAUCUCAGAAAUCUCCCUUAGUAGCAAACCUCUCUGUUUUGAACGGCAACGCAAAAAUUCAUUCAAUUGUCGCAGCAUAUUAUUGGCCAAUUUUAAUUACGAAACAGAACAUCCAAA
rnacentral:lncRNA from 1 species